GGAGUCCUACGGGGGGCAGCAGUAGGGAAUCUUCCACAAUGGGCGAAAGCCUGAUGGAGCAACGCCGCGUGGGUGAAGAAGGUCUUCGGAUCGUAAAACCCUGUUGUUAGAGAAGAAAGUGCGUGAGAGUAACUGUUCACGUUUCGACGGUAUCUAACCAGAAAGCCACGGCUAACUACGUGCCAGCAGCCGCGGUAAUACGUAGGCGGCAAGCGUUAUCCGGAUUAUUUGGC
rnacentral:rRNA from 1 species